rnacentral:rRNA from 1 species
UACGGGAGGCAGCAGUGGGGAAUAUUGCACAAUGGGCGCAAGCCUGAUGCAGCCAUGCCGCGUGUUGAAGAAGGCCUUCGGGUUGUAAAGCACUUUCAGUCAGGAGGAAAGGUUAGUAGUUAAUACCUGCUAGCUGUGACGUUACUGACAGAAGAAGCACCGGCUAACUCCGUGCCAGCAGCCGCGGUAAUACGGAGGGUGCGAGCGUUAAUCGGAAUUACUGGGCGUAAAGCGUACGCAGGCGGUUUGUUAAGCGAGAUGUGAAAGCCCCGGGCUCAACCUGGGAACUGCAUUUCGAACUGGCAAACUAGAGUGUGAUAGAGGGUGGUAGAAUUUCAGGUGUAGCGGUGAAAUGCGUAGAGAUCUGAAGGAAUACCGAUGGCGAAGGCAGCCACCUGGGUCAACACUGACGCUCAUGUACGAAAGCGUGGGGAGCAAACGGGAUUAGAUACCCCGGUAGUCCACGCCGUAAACGAUGUCUACUAGAAGCUCGGAGCCUCGGUUCUGUUUUUCAAAGCUAACGCAUUAAGUAGACCGCCUGGGGAGUACGGCCGCAAGGUUAAAACUCAAAUGAAUUGACGGGGGCCCGCACAAGCGGUGGAGCAUGUGGUUUAAUUCGAUGCAACGCGAAGAACCUUACCUACACUUGACAUACAGAGAACUUACCAGAGAUGGUUUGGUGCCUUCGGGAACUCUGAUACAGGUGCUGCAUGGCUGUCGUCAGCUCGUGUUGUGAGAUGUUGGGUUAAGUCCCGCAACGAGCGCAACCCCUAUCCUUAGUUGCUAGCAGGUAAUGCUGAGAACUCUAAGGAGACUGCCGGUGAUAAACCGGAGGAAGGUGGGGACGACGUCAAGUCAUCAUGGCCCUUACGUGUAGGGCUACACACGUGCUACAAUGGCGCAUACAGAGUGCUGCGAACCUGCGAAGGUAAGCGAAUCACUUAAAGUGCGUCGUAGUCCGGAUUGGAGUCUGCAACUCGACUCCAUGAAGUCGGAAUCGCUAGUAAUCGCGUAUCAGAAUGACGCGGUGAAUACGUUCCCGGGCCUUGUACACACCGCCCGUCACACCAUGGGAGUGGGUUGCUCCAGAAGUAGAUAGUCUAACCCUCGGGAGGAC